rnacentral:rRNA from 1 species
UACGAAGGGGCUAGCGUUGCUCGGAAUCACUGGGCGUAAAGCGCACGUAGGCGGAUUGUUAAGUCAGGGGUGAAAUCCUGGAGCUCAACUCCAGAACUGCCUUUGAUACUGGCGAUCUUGAGUCCGGGAGAGGUGAGUGGAACUGCGAGUGUAGAGGUGAAAUUCGUAGAUAUCAGGAGGAACACCGGUGGCGAAGGCGGGUCUCUGGGCCGAUACUGACGCUGAGGAGCGAAAGCGUGGGGAGCGAACAGG